ncrna:Parvimonas sp. oral taxon 393 str. F0440 dfrA-dnaX RNA
AUGCCUUAUGAUAAACCUAUUACUAUUUCAUCAUAACUACCUAAAAAAAUAAUCAAAAAGGAGUUAUGAUAUAAU